GACGAGGGGGCGAGCGUUGUCCGGAUUUAUUGGGCGUAAAGGCGUGCGUAGGCGGCUGCGCAAGUCGGUUGUGAAACCCCGGGGCUCAACCCCGGAAACUGGCAUCCGAGUACUGCGUGCUAGAGGUAGGUAGGGGAGAUCGGAAUUCCUGGUGGUAGCGGUGAAAUGCGCAGAUAUCAGGAGGAACGACCGGUGGCGAAGGCGGAUCUCUGGGCCUUACCUGACGCUCAGGCACGAAAGCUAGGGGAGCGAACAGG
rnacentral:rRNA from 1 species